rnacentral:rRNA from 1 species
UGGGGAAUAUUGCACAAUGGGCGCAAGCCUGAUGCAGCCAUGCCGCGUGUAUGAAGAAGGCCUUCGGGUUGUAAAGUACUUUCAGCGGGGAGGAAGGGAGUAAAGUUAAUACCUUUGCUCAUUGACGUUACCCGCAGAAGAAGCACCGGCUAACUCCGUGCCAGCAGCCGCGGUAAUACGGAGUGUGCAAGCGGUAAUCGGAAUUACUGGGCGUAAAGCGCACGCAGGCGGUUUGUUAAGUCAGAUGUGAAAUCCCCGGGCUCAACCUGGGAACUGCAUCUGAUACUGGCAAGCUUGAGUCUCGUAGAGGGGGGUAGAAUUCCAGGUGUAGCGGUGAAAUGCGUAGAGAUCGGGAGGAAUACCGGUGGCGAAGGCGGCCCCCUGGACGAAGACUGACGCUCAGGUGCGAAAGCGUGGGGAGCAAACAGG